AUGAAGUCAGUCAUUUCGUAUGCACUAUAACAAUUAAGAACAGGUGUGUAAAACACCCAAGUGUUUACUGUUAGUAUACUAACCAGUUCCCCCUUGCAGCUUCAGACUGGUAUCUGGAAACAGUUCAAAUCCAGCACCUGAGUGGACCCGAAUAGUUCUGUGCAUAGCUCACCUUCUAAACCCAGGGCGCAUGGAGAGGUGGGCGAGUCCGUGUGUGGAAGCUGCAAGCAGGUAGCCCCUUUAUUCAUUGAUUCUUUCUCCCAAAUGGGUUCAAAUCUGUCCGCACCCAUUGGAUUUUUUUCCCUAAACUUCAGUUAAGCUGCUGUUUUCUUCCACGCAAUAUUGUAUACUUGGUUGUGUAUAGAAGCUGGUGAGAGUGCCCUCCUACAUAAGCAAUUGCAGUGUUUUGCAUGCAGAGUUUUAAAACUUUAAAUUGUCCUGAUUCUAUUUUGUAAAUGGAGAAACAAUCAUAUCUUUCUAAGCAGUAAUGGAGGAAGACUAGUGCUUUGUGCAUUUUGAUAUAAUUGAGUUCAUUUUUUCCAUGAUGUAAUACUUUUGACACAGUUGGGUUUCGCAUAUUAUCCUAGUUCAUGUACAUCAGAAUGCUAAUAAUACUGUGUUUAAGUUUUGUGUUGCAAGAACAAAUGGAAUAAACUUGAAUUGUGCUACAGCUAA